rnacentral:rRNA from 1 species
CGAGUGGCGGACGGGUGAGUAAUGUCUGGGAAACUGCCUGAUGGAGGGGGAUAACUACUGGAAACGGUAGCUAAUACCGCAUAACGUCGCAAGACCAAAGAGGGGGACCUUCGGGCCUCUUGCCAUCGGAUGUGCCCAGAUGGGAUUAGCUAGUAGGUGGGGUAACGGCUCACCAGGCGACGAUCCCUAGCUGGUCUGAGAGGAUGACCAGCCACACUGGAACUGAGACACGGUCCAGACUCCUACGGGAGGCAGCAUG